rnacentral:rRNA from 1 species
AUUGAACGCUGGCGGCGGGCCUAACACAUGCAAGUCGAACGAGUGGCGGACGGGUGAGUAAUGUCUGGGAAACUGCCCGCUGGAGGGGGGUAACUACUUGAAACGGUAGCUAAUAACGCGUACCAUCUGAUGUGCCCAUAUGGGAUUAGCUUGUAGGUGGGGUAACGGCUCACCUAGGCGACGAUCCCUAGCUGGUCUGAGAGGAUGACCAGCCACACUGGAACUGAGACACGGUCCAGACUCCUACGGGAGGCAGCAGUGUGGAAUAUUGCACAAUGGGCGCAAGCCUGAUGCAGCCAUGCCGCGUGUAUGAAGAAGGCCUUCGGGUGGUAAAGUACUUUCAGCGGGGAGGCGUUACCCGCAGAAGAAGCACCGGCUAACUCCGUGCCAGCAGCCGCGGUAAUAC